UUCCUGAGCUGAUCGCGAACAAGGCAGAGUUAAUGAAGGAGAGCUCCGGAUCACUGGAGCCACCCUUGAUUGGAACUUAUUUAUUUGCUAUGGAACGACUUUCACGCUGCCAAUGGACGUUUCGGUCUUUACUAAACAGCAUCAAAAUAAUGAAUCAUGAGAUACACGAAGAAGUUAUAAAACGAAAAGGAAAUAUAUUGCUGUGGUUCGCUGUGAACGAAGGGCGGAGUUAGUGAGUUGAGGGUUAAUAUCUAACAAUCUUCUGUUACACUGAUGAAAUUGCGGGCAUUGUCUUUUAUUAAUUACAUUUCCAAAUAAACUCAGCCGUUAAAAACGA